rnacentral:rRNA from 1 species
UACAGAGGGGGCAAGCGUUAUUCGGAAUUAUUGGGCGUAAAGGGCGCGUAGGCGGCUUGGCAAGUGGAUGGUGAAAUCCCUCGGCUUAACCGAGGAACUGCCGUCCAAACUGCUUCGCUUGAGACCGGGAGAGGUGAGUGGAAUUCCCAGUGUAGCGGUGAAAUGCGUAGAUAUUGGGAGGAACACCAGUGGCGAAGGCGGCUCACUGGACAGGUACUGACGCUGAUGCGCGAAAGCGUGGGGAGCAAACGGG